rnacentral:rRNA from 1 species
UACGAGGGGGGGCGAGCGUUGUUCGGAAUUAUUGGGCGUAAAGGGUGCGUAGGCGGUUUGGUAAGUCUGAUGUGAAAUCUAUGGGCUCAACUCAUAGUCUGCAUCGGAAACUGCCGGGCUUGAGUGUGGGAGAGGUGAGUGGAAUUCCUGGUGUAGCGGUGAAAUGCGUAGAUAUCAGGAGGAACACCUGUGGCGAAAAGCGGCUCACUGGACCAUAACUGACGCUGAUGCACGAAAAGCUAGGGGGAGCAAACAGG